GUCGAACGCAGUAGCAAUACUGAGUGGCGAACGGGUGAGUAUAAUGUGGGUAUCUGCCCUUUGGUUUGGAAUAACACGAGGAAACUUGUGCUAAUACUAGAUAAGCCUUCACAGGGAAAGCUUUAGCGCCAAAGGAUGAGCCCGCACUUGAUUAGCUAGUUGGUAAGGUAAUGGCUUACCAAGGCUACGAUCAAUAGCUGAUCUGAGAGGAUGAUCAGCCACAUUGGGACUGAGACACGGCCCAAACUUCUACGGAAGGCAGCAGUGGGGAGUCUUGCACAAUGGGGGAAACCCUGAUGCAGCGAUGCCGCGUGAGUGAAGAAGGCCCUUGGGUUGUAAAGCUCUUUCGUCGGGGAAGAAAAUGACUGUACCCGAAUAAGAAGGUCCGGCUAACUUCGUGCCAGCAGCCGCGGUAAUACGAAGGGACCUAGCGUAGUUCGGAAUUACUGGGCUUAAAGAGUUCGUAGGUGGUUAAAAAAGUUGGUGGUGAAAUCCCAGAGCUUAACUCUGGAACUGCCAUCAAAACUUUUUAGCUAGAGUAUGAUAGAGGAAAGCAGAAUUUCUAGUGUAGAGGUGAAAUUCGUAGAUAUUAGAAAGAAUACCGAUUGCGAAGGCAGCUUUCUGGAUCAUUACUGACACUGAGGAACGAAAGCAUGGGUAGCGAAGAGGAUUAGACACCCUCGUAGUCCAUGCCGUAAACGAUGUGUG
rnacentral:rRNA from 1 species